rnacentral:rRNA from 1 species
UACAGAGGUCUCAAGCGUUGUUCGGAUUCAUUGGGCGUAAAGGGUGCGUAGGCGGCGCGGUAAGUCGGGUGUGAAAUCUCGGAGCUUAACUCCGAAACUGCAUUCGAUACUGCCGUGCUUGAGGACUGGAGAGGAGACUGGAAUUUACGGUGUAGCGGUGAAAUGCGUAGAUAUCUGGAGGAACACCGGUGGCGAAGGCGGCAUCCUGGACCGACACUGACGCUGAGGAGACGAAAGGCCAGGGGAGACAAAGCGGG